UCCGGUUUAUCACCGGCAGUCUCCAUAGAGUUCUCGGCUUUACCCGUUAGUAACUAUGAACAAGGGUUGCGCUCGUUGCGGGACUUAACCCAACAUCUCACGACACGAGCUGACGACAGCCAUGCAGCACCUCUCCAGCGGUCCCCGAAGGGAGGGACUCAUCUCUGAGCCUUGCCACUGAAGUUCAAACCCAGGUAAGGUUCUGCGCGUUGCUUCGAAUUGAUCCACAUGCUCCACCGCUUGUGCGGGUCCCCGUCAAUUCCUUUGAGUUUUAAUCUUGCGACCGUACUCCCCAGGCGGAAUGCUUAAUGCGUUAGCUGCGACACUGACGAGCAUGCUCGCCAACGUCUAGCAUUCAUCGUUUACGGCGUGGACUAC
rnacentral:misc_RNA from 1 species